rnacentral:rRNA from 1 species
GUGGGGAAUAUUGGGCAAUGGGCGAAAGCCUGACCCAGCAACGCCGCGUGAAGGAAGAAGGCUUUCGGGUUGUAAACUUCUUUUGUCAGGGACGAAAAAAAUGACGGUACCUGACGAAUAAGCCACGGCUAACUACGUGCCAGCAGCCGCGGUAAUACGUAGGUGGCAAGCGUUAUCCGGAUUUACUGGGUGCAAAGGGCGUGUAGGCGGUAAAGCAAGUCAGAUGUGAAAACUAUGGGCUCAACCCAUAGCCUGCAUUUGAAACUGUUUUUCUUGAGUACUGGAGAGGCAGAUGGAAUUCCUAGUGUAGCGGUGAAAUGCGUAGAUAUUAGGAGGAACACCAGUGGCGAAGGCGAUCUGCUGGACAGCAACUGACGCUGAGGCGCGAAAGCGUGGGGAGCAAACAGGAUUAGAUACCCCUGUAGUCC